rnacentral:rRNA from 1 species
AUUGAACGCUGGCGGCAUGCCUUACACAUGCAAGUCGAACGGCAGCACGGGUGCUUGCACCUGGUGGCGAGUGGCGAACGGGUGAGUAAUACAUCGGAACGUACCUUAUCGUGGGGGAUAACGCAGCGAAAGUUGCGCUAAUACCGCAUACGCCCUGAGGGGGAAAGCGGGGGACCGUAAGGCCUCGCGCGAUUAGAGCGGCCGACGUCUGAUUAGCUUGUUGGUGAGGUAAAAGCUCACCAAGGCGAUGAUCAGUAGCUGGUCUGAGAGGACGAUCAGCCACACUGGGACUGAGACACGGCCCAGACUCCUACGGGAGGCAGCAGUGGGGAAUUUUGGACAAUGGGGGCAACCCUGAUCCAGCAAUGCCGCGUGAGUGAAGAAGGCCUUCGGGUUGUAAAGCUCUUUUGUCAGGGAGGAAACAGCAGCUCUAACACAGUCUGCGAAUGACGGUACCUGAAGAAUAAGCACCGGCUAACUACGUGCCAGCAGCCGCCGUAA